rnacentral:rRNA from 1 species
UCGAGGGGCAGCGGGGUAGUGCUUGCACUACUGCCGGCGACCGGCGCACGGGUGAGUAACACGUAUGGAACCUGCCCGCAGCAGGGGGAUAAGCGGAAGAAAUUCCGUCUAAUACCGCGUAACAACGUUGGGAGGCAUCUCCCGAUGUUUAAAGAUUUAUCGGCUGCGGAUGGCCAUGCGGCGCAUUAGCUAGUCGGCGGGGUAACGGCCCCCCGAGGCGACGAUGCGUAGGGGUUCUGAGAGGAAGGUCCCCCACACUGGUACUGAGACACGGACCAGACUCCUACGGGAGGCAGCAGUGAGGAAUAUUGGUCAAUGGCCGAGAGGCUGAACCAGCCAAGUCGCGUGAGGGAAGACGGCCCUACGGGUUGUAAACCUCUUUUGUCGGGGAGCAAAGCGAACCACGUGUGGUUCAUUGAGAGUACCCGAAGAAAAAGCAUCGGCUAACUCCGUGCCAGCAGCCGCGGUAAUACGGAGGAUGCGAGCGUUAUCCGGAUUUAUUGGGUUUAAAGGGUGCGCAGGCGGAGGUGCAAGUCAGCGGUCAAAUUGCGGGGCUCAACCCCGUACUGCCGUUGAAACUGCAUCCCUUGAGUGCGCGAGAAGUAUGCGGAAUGCGUGGUGUAGCGGUGAAAUG